CACCCCUCAGGAUCGCACCUGGAGAGUUCCAGUACUCUACUAGUCUUGGCUACUGGAGGGAGAGUCAAGCAGAAGCAUACUCAUUCCAUUCCUAACUUGGGCAGUGGCUAGCGAGUGGAAGGCAAUCUGCUACAAGU
rnacentral:snoRNA from 2 species